UUCCAGGGCUGCUUUUCCCAGACUGGAAUGGUUUUCCCAGACUGGAAUGGUUUUUCCAGGCUGGAAUAGUUUUCCCAGACUGGAAUGGUUUUCCCAGACUGGAAUGGUUUUUCCAGGCUGGGAUGGUUUUUCCAGGCUGGAAUGGUUUUCCCAGGCUGGGAUGGUUUUCCCAGGCUGGGAUGGUUUUCCCAGACUGGACUGGUUUUCCCAGGGCUGCCUUUCCCUGGAAAGGGCGGAUUUGCCGCAGUGCCUCUUUCCGGGGCGGCUUUUCCGGGCCGGAAUUUGCCGGGGUGGCUUUUCCAGCCGGGCUUUGCCGCAGUGGAGAUCCCGGGAUGACUCUGCCGGGGUGGAUCUGCCGGGGGUGGAUGUGCCAGGACGGAAUUGCCGGGCUGGAUUUGUCACUGCAGCUUCUCCAGGGGGAUUUUUUUCCAGGGUGGCUUUACCGGGGUGAUUUUUCCGGAAUUGUUUCUCCAGGGUGGCUUUUCCAGGGUGGCUUUUCCAGGGUGGAUUCGCCACAGUAGCUUUUCCAGGGUGACUUUUCCAGGGUGGCUUUUCCAGGAUGAUUUUUCCAGGGUGACUUUUCCAAGGUGGCUUUCCCAGGGUGACUUUUCCAGGGUAACUUGUCCAGGAUGAUUUUUCCAGGGUGGCUUUUCCAGGAUGGCUUUCCCAGGGUGACUUUUCCAGGGUGGCUUUUCCAGGAUGAUUUUUCCAGGGUGGCUUUUCCAGGGUGGCUUUUCCAGGGUGGAUUUGCCACAGUAGCUUUUCCAGGGUGAUUUUUCCAGGAUGGCUUUUCCAGAAUGAUUUUUUCCAGGGUGGCUUUUCCAGGGUGGCUUUUCCAAGGUGGCUUUCCCAGGGUGGAUUUGUCACUGUAGCUUUUCCAGGGUGGCUUUUCCAAGGUGGCUUUUCCAAGGUGGCUUUGCCACGGUAGCUUUUCCAGGAUGGCUUUUCCAAGGUAGCUUGGCCAGGGUGGCUUUUCCAGAGUGGAUUUGUCAGAGAAGCUUUUCCAGGGUGGCUUUCCCAGGAUGGCUUUUCCAGGGUGAUUU